UACAGAGGUCUCAAGCGUUGUUCGGAUUCAUUGGGCGUAAAGGGUGCGUAGGCGGCGCGGUAAGUCGGGUGUGAAAUCUUGGAGCUUAACUCCGAAACUGCAUUCGAUACUGCCGUGCUUGAGGACUGGAGAGGAGACUGGAAUUUACGGUGUAGCGGUGAAAUGCGUAGAUAUCGUAAGGAAGACCAGUGGCGAAGGCGAGUCUCUGGACAGUUCCUGACGCUGAGGCACGAAGGCCAGGGGAGCAAACGGG
rnacentral:rRNA from 1 species